rnacentral:lncRNA from 1 species
CAGGCGCCGGGGGGUGGGGGGGCCCACAGCGCCGGCGCAGGCGCAGGGAGGCCCACAGCGCCGGAGCAGGUGCAGAAAGUCAGAAGGUCCAUGAGGGGAAGUUCCUGCUUCAGGUGCAGAAAUACAGCUAUUUCCAGUGCCAGCUGUGGAGCCAGUGCCAGCACCAGGGUCAAAGCCCCCUCCAGGGACAGCGCUGGAGCUAGAGGAGGCUCCAGAGCCCUCCUGCCAUUGCCCUGGGACUGCCCAAGCUGAAAGUGUGGCUGGAGCUAGAGGUGGCAGAGAGGGGGUGACCAGCACAGCUCCAGCCAGCAGCUCCCACACUGCUCCCAGUCCUGGGCACAGUGGAAGCUAUGGAGGCAGAGACCAGGGUGUGCAACCUGGGCUCCUCUGCCUCACUGGAGAGGGACUUCUCUCAUUCAGCAGAGCAGCAGCCCUGCUGCUGAAGAGCCUGCUGCUACUGCUGCUGGGGUUGUUUGCCUGCCUACAGGAGGUGCUGGAGAGCAAGAAAAGGAGCCUGUGAGCAGGGGUUCCAGGAGGUCCUCCUGCUCCCAGAGGCGACCUCCUCCUCCAGGCAUGGAGGUUUGCCCUCAGCUAGGCAUCUGGGCCAUUUGCCUCUAAUGUUCUGCCCAGGAUGGCCUCUUCUUGACAGGUGGACAGGGGUUGAGGGGGCCAGGGGGCAUCUCCAAAGGAAGAUUUAAACUCAGCAGCUGCACCCCAGAAUCUCCAUGCCUGCACCUGCCCAAGGAUUUAUUCAUAGCUUAACUAAGAAUCUCAAAUUUCUACCAUAACACUGAAAUAAAGUUUGACUUUUUGAAACUUCCAUGACUUCUUU